rnacentral:rRNA from 1 species
UGCGUAGGCGGGCUAAUAAGUCAGUGGUGAAAUUUCUCGGCUCAACCGGGAAACUGCCAUUGAUACUGUUAGUCUUGAGUUCGGUUGAGGUAGGCGGAAUGUGUAAUGUAGCGGUGAAAUGCUUAGAUAUUACACAGAACACCAAUUGCGUAGGCAGCUUACUAGACCGACACUGACGCUGAGGCACGAAAGCGUGGGGAGCGAACAGGAUUAGAUACCCUGGUAGUC